rnacentral:lncRNA from 1 species
GUUAAAACAAAGUAAUUUUACUACUUGCUCUGUUUCUUUACCUUUCUUUCAAUCUUUUCUGUUCAAAUCAAGGUGGCUCCUUUUUUCUGUAAAAUUGCAAUUUUUGUUUCUUUCCCACAGCGACAAAGUGGUACCACUGCGCUACUCCAAAGAGAUCCCUAAGAUUGGUUGAUGCGGAUGAAGUAGCAUGUAUCAGUGGUUAAAAAAUUAGCUUGGGGGCCAUUUUUUUUGGGAAGGCAAGCUGACCUCCAUGUACUUUCUCCUUACACGACACCCAUACAGACAAGAGAUGGAAAUGGACAAAGGUAGCUCUCAUUUCGUCGGCCAGGUGAGCUGAACUUAAAAAUUGGGAUGGA